UUCUGUUUUCUCUAGUAUUUGUUUGAGACAAGUUUAGAAUCGUGUUUCUUUUGUGUGUUCCUGGUUCAAGACACCAAGUUUUGAAGUGUACCUUAGUAGAGCUUGCUUUGGAGUUAGACUCUGAUUUGAAUCCCAGCCUUUCACUUUGAAUGGGACAGGUAAGAGAUGGAUAAUACCCUGCUUAGAAUGAAGAAAGCACUUGCUUUUGAGAGUGCAAUAAGGACUAAGAGAAAUGAGAAAUAGAACCUGUCACUUGGUAAAUGUUCAUACGGGAUAGUUUUUACAGGUAGGUUAGGAGAAAUACUCUUUUUAUAGUUGGCUUUGUUGAAGAGACUUUUGUAGAGUAUAGCUGGGUGUGGUGGUGCAAGCCUGUAAUCCCAACACUGGAGACAGAGGCAGGAGGAUGGUGAGUUCCAGGCCAGCCUGGGUUACAUAGCAAGACCUUGUUCCAAAACAAAACAAUUCAUAGAUAGGAUUAAUUCAUAGAUAGGAUUUUUGAAGCUGGAAGACUCCUGUGCUGUCACUCAAGUUGAGCCUCCUUAUUUUAUAGGAACAGAUCAGUAAAGCAGCUUGUAUAGUAUUGCUGAGUUGGCACCAGAACACUUUGUUCAUUUGACUGUGAAUGGAACAAAAAUGUUUACAUCAUGAUUUCAGAAUGGUGCCUGAGUAUUACUUGUGUAAGUUGUGUAUAUAUUAAUUGAAAGGAAAGUGAUGAUCUGUGUGCUUAAUCUGCCUUUGAGUGUGUAUACUCAAACUUGAAAGGUAAUUUUAUCUACUGAAGGCUCUGAGCCACAGUGUGAAGAAAACUUGUUUUGCUGUCUCAAUUUAUUAGGAAGUACAAUUAGGAGUCCUAGGUUACUAAUUUAGAAGUAUUUACAGUGCAUCAGUGGAGUAUAUAAUAUUAGAUUAAAUGUUUUAAUUGAUGACUUGAUCUACCCAAGACACUUGACCUACCAGAGCUUGGAACCUCUGUCUUCUAUAUGGUUAUUUAAUAUUAUGUGGCUUCCUCCCUUUUCUGUAAAGUAAAAUGAUUUUUUUUUAUUGUGGUUUUACAUAUUUCUUGCUUUUCUUAUCUUUUCCAAUGGAAACCUCUUUGUCUGAAUUCUACUUGUUUUUCAAAUUCAUCAAUGUCUUUUCAGAACUGCUCCGCCCCCUCCCCGCCCCUCUCCCUGCUCUCCUCAGGAUCAAACAAGGGCCUUGUGCAGGCUAGGCAACUUCGACCACUAAGCCAAGUCCCAGCCCAGGAAUGCUACAAUUUUAAGAGGUCAAAGUGUUAACCAUUUGAAUACCUAAAAGAUAAAGUCCUGAUGUCUUUGGAUUUGAGAAGUAAUUAUAAUCCUUCUUGACCUGAGUUAUCUUUUAGUGAAGAAUAUUCAAAUUCUUUACAUACGUACAUUUAUUGAUGUAUGUGGGCUGGAGCCCAGGGUCCUGCGCAUGUUGACAGCCCUCUGCACAGCCCUGGGAUUUGCUGUUCAUUAUGGUUCGGUGCUCCAGAGGAUAUUCUUGUGGAAAGCCUAGUUCAUUUCUAGAAGAAAGCACAGAGAACAAAUGAAGCAGUGUGUUAUCUCAGCCAACUUAUAGGCGAUUGUAGUGGAAGUAGAUUGUGUUGAAUUCAUUGUCUCAGUCUAUGAAUGUACUUGUGUUUGACUUUGUACUGUUCUCAUGUCUUUUUUUUAUUAUAAUACUUUAGAUAAUCUGAAGAUAAGAUUGAUUUUUUUUUUGCUUUUUUAAUAAAGUUCAUAGAGUUCGGGUC